AUUUGGCUGCCUUUGACUGUGCAGUGUGUACUUUCUCAUAACAUCAGGUUGGAUCAGCAAAAGAUGUUUGACACUGUGGUUAAAGAUGAAUAAAGCAAACAACUCCGAUCCUGUGAACACUUAAGCACAUGAGUAACUUUACACAUGUGAGCAGAUGACUCAAUAAUGUCAACUGGAUUACUCAGGUGAGUAAAGGUAUGCAGGAUUGGAGCUAUGAAAGCAUCUCUCUGUGUCUCAGGUAACCAAGGCAUGAGAUGUGUGCA